rnacentral:rRNA from 1 species
UACAGAGGUCUCAAGCGUUGUUCGGAUUCAUUGGGCGUAAAGGGUGCGUAGGCGGCGCGGUAAGUCGGGUGUGAAAUCUCGGAGCUUAACUCCGAAACUGCAUUCGAUACUGCCGUGCUUGAGGACUGGAGAGGAGACUGGAAUUUACGGUGUAGCGGUGAAAUGCGUAGAUAUCGUAAGGAAGACCAGUGGCGAAGGCGGGUCUCUGGACAACUCCUGACACUGAGGCACGAAAGCUAGGGGAGCAAACAGG